UAUCUCUGUAGAGUCUGCAUAUCAAUAAGCGGAGGAAAAGAAACUAACAAGGAUUCCCUUAGUAACGGCGAGUGAAGCGGGAAGAGCUCAAAUUUGAAAUCUUCAAGGUUCUACCUUGACGAAUUGUAGUUUAAAGAAGUGUUUUCUGUUAGAUGAGUAGCAAAAGUUCCUUGGAAUGGGACAUCAUAGAGGGUGAGAAUCCCGUAUUUGGUUAUUCAUUCUAGCUUUGUGAUACACAUUCAAAGAGUCGGAUUGUUUGGGAAUGCAGUCCAAAAUGGGUGGUAAAUUUCAUCUAAAGCUAAAUAUUGGCGAGAGACCGAUAGGCGAACAAGUACCGUGAGGGAAAGAUGAAAAGAACUUUGAAAAGAGAGUUAAACAGUACGUGAAAUUGUCAAAAGGGAAGCGUUUGACACCAGUGUUGUUUUUUCCGAAAAUCAAUUACGAAUGGCUUGAUUUUGUGUUGUAUUGACCUUAUCAGCUUUCUUCACUUUUUUCGAGUCUUUCUUAAUGCACUUUUCGGUUAACAAGUCAACAUCAAUUUCUUUUGUUGUAAAAGAGUAUUCGGAAGGUGGCUUUCUUUUCGGAGAAAGUGUUUAUAGCCCUAUACUUCUACAAUCGGAGAGAUUGAGGUCUGCAGCGUAGAUCCUUCGGGGUUAGAUACACUUGUGCUAAGUUGUAGCUUUUCAUAGACAACUUGUUGACUAUGUUUAGUCAUGCGGCUUACUCGCUUGUGCUAUUUUACCUACGCUUAGGAUGUUGACUGAUAUGUAGUCGUA
rnacentral:rRNA from 1 species